rnacentral:lncRNA from 1 species
GUUGGGCCAUAUUAGCAAUUUUUUUAAUAUUUUUAUUUAGAAUUAACCCUCUAUAUAUUGUUGCUACAAAAAUGUUUGACUGUAUUUAUUCCAUUAAACCUACUUAAUAAACACAAUUAAUUAUUAGUAUUAAGACCAUCACUAAGUUACUUACCAUCUUUUUUUUUUUUUUGCUAAACUGUUAAUAUCAUUAAAAUGAAAAAAGAAACUUACAAAAUGAAAGUUCUAACGGAAAUGUUUCCUAGGCAAAAAAAUAAAACAUGGAAACAUUACUACCAACCGAUCAAGGUAAACAAAUGAUACUCAGCUCAA